UACGUAGGGGGCAAGCGUUGUCCGGAAUCAUUGGGCGUAAAGCGCGUGUAGGCGGUUCAGUAAGUCUGCUGUGAAAGUCCAGGCUCAACCCUGGGAUGCCGGUGGAUACUGCUGGACUAGAGUGCGGAAGAGGCGAGUGGAAUUCCCGGUGUAGCGGUGAAAUGCGCAGAUAUCGAGGAAGAACACCCGUGGCGAAGGCGGUCUCUCGUCGGACGGU
rnacentral:rRNA from 1 species